CCUACGGGAGGCAGCAGUGGGGAAUAUUGCACAAUGGGGGAAACCCUGAUGCAGCGACGCCGCGUGAGUGAGGAAGUAUUUCGGUAUGUAAAGCUCUAUCAGCAGGGAAGAAAAUGACGGUACCUGACUAAGAAGCCCCGGCUAACUACGUGCCAGCAGCCGCGGUAAUACGUCGGGGGCACGCGUUAUCCGGAUUUACUGGGUGUAAAGGGGGCGUAGACGGAUAAUCAAGUCAGAAGUGAAAACCCAGGGCUCAACCUUGGGACUGCGUUGAAACUGAGUAGCUAGAGUGCAGGAGAGGUAAGCGGAAUUCCUAGUGUAGCGGUGAAAUGCGUAGAUAUUAGGAGGAACACCAGUGGCGAAGGCGGCUUACUGGACUGUAACUGACGUUGAGGCUCGAAAGCGUGGGGAGCAAACAGGAUUAGAUACCCCAGUAGUC
rnacentral:rRNA from 1 species